rnacentral:rRNA from 1 species
GGACCCGCACAAGCGGUGGAUGAUGUGGUUUAAUUCGAUGCAACGCGAAAAACCUUACCUACCCUUGACAUGUACGGAACUUGCCAGAGAUGGCUUGGUGCUCGAAAGAGAGCCGUAACACAGGUGCUGCAUGGCUGUCGUCAGCUCGUGUCGUGAGAUGUUGGUUAAGUCCCGCAACGAGCGCAACCCUUGUCAUUAGUUGCUACAUUUAGUUGGGCACUCUAAUGAGACUGCCGGUGACAAACCGGAGGAAGGUGGGGAUGACGUCAAGUCCUCAUGGCCCUUAUGGGUAGGGCUACACACGUCAUACAAUGGCUGGUACAAAGGGUUGCCAACCCGCGAGGGGAGCU